UACGUAGGGUGCGAGCGUUGUCCGGAAUUACUGGGCGUAAAGAGCUCGUAGGUGGUUUGUCGCGUUGUUCGUGAAAACUCACAGCUUAACUGUGGGCGUGCGGGCGAUACGGGCAGACUGGAGUACUGCAGGGGAGACUGGAAUUCCUGGUGUAGCGGUGGAAUGCGCAGAUAUCAGGAGGAACACCGGUGGCGAAGGCGGGUCUCUGGGCAGUAACUGACGCUGGAGGAGCGAAAGCCGUGGGGAGCAAACGGG
rnacentral:rRNA from 1 species